rnacentral:rRNA from 1 species
UACGUAGGGGGCAAGCGUUGUCCGGAUUUAUUGGGCGUAAAGAGCGUGUAGGCGGCCGCACAGGUCCGUUGUGAAAACUGGAGGCUUAACCUCCAGACGUCGAUGGAAACCGUGCGGCUAGAGUCCGGAAGAGGAGAAUGGAAUUCCUGGUGUAGCGGUGAAAUGCGCAGAUAUCGGGAAGAACACCUAUGGCGAAGGCAGCUCUCUGGGACGGUACUGACGCUGAGACGCGAAAGCGUGGGGAGCGAACAGG